rnacentral:rRNA from 1 species
AUUGAACGCUGGCGGCAGGCUUAAUACAUGCAAGUCGAGCGAGCGGCGGACUGGUGAGUAAUGUCUGGAAACGUGCCUGACGGAGGGGGAUAACUACUGGAAACGGUAGCUAAUACCGCAUACCACCAGUUCUGCCGAGAUUGGAUUAGCUAGUAGGGGGGGUAAUGGCUCACCUAGGCGACGAGCCCUAGCUGGUCUGAGAGGGUGACCAGCAACACUGGAACGGAGACAAGGGCCAGACUCCUACGGGAGGCAGCAGUGGGGAAUAUUGCGCAAUGGGCGAAAGCCUGAUGCAGCCAUGCCGCGUGUGUGAAGAAGGUGUUCGGGGUGUAAAGCACUUUCAGCGAGGAGGCGUUACUCGCAGAAGAAGCAACGGCUAACUCCGUGCCAGCAGCCGCGGUAAUUC